GAUGAACGCUGGCGGCGUGCCUAAUACAUGCAAGUCGAACGAAACUUCUUUAUCACCGAGUGCUUGCACUCACCGAUAAAGAGUUGAGUGGCGAACGGGUGAGUAACACGUGGGCAACCUGCCCAAAAGAGGGGGAUAACACUUGGAAACAGGUGCUAAUACCGCAUAACCAUGGUUACCGCAUGGUAACUAUGUAAAAGGUGGCUAUACUACCGCUUUUGGAUGGGCCCGCGGCGCAUUAGCUAGUUGGUAGGGUAAAGGCUUACCAAGGCAAUGAUGCGUAGCCGAAUUGAGAGGUUGAUCGGCCACAUUGGGACUGAGACACGGCCCAAACUCCUACGGGAGGCAGCAGUAGGGAAUCUUCCACAAUGGGCGAAAGCCUGAUGGAGCAACGCCGCGUGGGUGAAGAAGGUCUUCGGAUCGUAAAACCCUGUUGUUAGAGAAGAAAGUGCGUGAGAGUAACUGUUCACGUUUCGACGGUAUCUAACCAGAAAGCCACGGCUAACUACGUG
rnacentral:rRNA from 1 species